CACCUCAUGGAAGGGAUCCACACUGGAGAAGUUCAGGAAGAACUGCAGCCUGUGGGAAGGACCCAAAUUGGAGAAGUUCGUGAAGGACUGUUUCCUGUGGGAGGAACCCCGCACUGGAGCGGGAGAAGAACGUGAGGAGGAAGGACUGGCAGAGACAACAUGUGAUGAACUCACCACAACGCCCGUCCCCAUCCCCUUGCACUGAUCCAAGAGAUCUGAAGACUCAAACCGUGUUCGUACCGCAGUCGGAAAGGAAUCUAUGAGCACCCAAUCAUACAAACUGUCCUGUCUUAACUGUUGGACCCAGUCAGCGAGCUAGAUCUGGACAGACCUCCAACCUCGGCUUCUCCAGAAAGACCAUUUCAGACCUUUCUUCCUCUAAAAGGUGUCAGAAAAGAGCGAUCAUACUGACUUCAGUAAAUUUGCUUCACGGUUACGUCAGCACGAGUCAAGAUUGAAUCUGUCCCUUUAUCUAGCCAGCUGUCUGCCUAUCUCCCUAUCUCUCGAUCUUCCCUCUCUCUCUUUCUCUCUCUCUCUCUCUCUGCAUAGGUAGACAGAUACAACUGCACUAACUAAAUAUUUCAAGAAACCUUUGAAAUAAAUUUGUAAAUGUUGUAAUACUAUAGAAUGUAAAGCGAAUGGCUGUGCUUUGUUAAAGGAGAUUUUAUCUGACAUUUAUAAUUUUAAAAAGGGGAGAAAUAUUUUAGAAAUAUCAUUGUAACCCACAUGGUUAAUAGAUUAAGGUUUCUGGUAAAGCAAUUUUUAAAUUGUUAGCAGCUCUGGUACUCAGUUUAAAGCACCUUGGUUGAUUUACCACUCAGUGGUUAGGUAUUCUAAAAAUCUGUAAGAAUUUCAUCUUCAAAGUUGGGCAGAAAA